rnacentral:rRNA from 1 species
UACAGAGACUGCAGGCGUUAUUCGGAUUCACUGGGCGUAAAGGGUGCGCAGGCGGCCGUGUGUGUGAGGCGUGAAAGCCCGGAGCUCAACUCCGGAAUUGCACCUCAAACUACACGGCUAGAGCAUUGGAGAGGGUAGCGGAAUUCACGGUGUAGCAGUGAAAUGCGUAGAUAUCGUGAGGAACACCAGAGGCGAAGGCGGCUACCUGGACAAUUGCUGACGCUCAGGCACGAAAGCGUGGGGAGCAAAAGGG